AUAAAUGGAGAGGUAUUUUUUUCUUGAAAAUGAUUACCAGCAUUUUGUCUUCGCGAUUUUCUAUUGAUUUAUUUAUUUAAAUGCAUGGACGAUCGAGGUUUGCUUUUUGGUUCUUAUUUCCUUUGGUCAUGUAGAAGAGCUUGUCUUUGUAUCUUUUUGGUUGCUAGAUUUAGAUUCUGUGGGGCUUUCUAGUGAAAGCAAUAUAAUAGGAAUCAUUUUAUGUUUCCGUUUCGUCAAGUCAAUAGAUUGGCGAAGAUUAAUUUGGCUCGUCAAAAGCUUAUGCUAUAUGUCUUUUAUCAAAUGUGUGUUGAAGAUGUUCUAUGUCUCCAGUUUUUUAGUUUGUCUAUCUUUGUAAGGAUCGGAUCUCAUUGUUUUAUGUCUCAUGUGUUGGGGCUUUGGUCUCCUCAUGUGUGGGGAUUUGUUUUUGGAGGCCUUAGGACAUGACGACUAUUGUAUUCAAAUUCAAUUUUGUGUAUGAAUGAAAUUUUAAUGUGAAAAAAUGUUAAUCAACAAAAGGAACGAGUAUUUUCACAAAAUGUUAAUCAACAAAAAUGUUAAAGUAAUAUAGAAACUAUUGUCUGAAAACAUUAAAUAUAAUUAAGCUUUUUAUUCAUAGGUUUUAGAAUCCAUAUCUAUCUCCCCCAUAUUUAUUACUUGCACACACAAACAACUGAUUUAUUUUUCACAAAAAUGUUAAUUUAUAGUUUUAUACUAGUACUACUCCAUGUAUCCAUAAAUAUAAUUUAUAAUUAUUUAAUAAAAGGAACACAUGUAUAAAUUUAUAGUCGACGAGAACAAUGUCUUUUAUCAAUCUAAAUUUAUUCACUGAUAUGAUCUCACACCAUUUUCAUAUAAACUCAUGUCCAUGUGUUUUGGUUCACUUAUUCAUCACUCUCAUCAUCUGAAUGAUUGUUCACAGAUUGUUCACAUGAGAUACAUAUGUGUAGUGGCCCUUCCCAAAUCCUAUUCUUCGUAGUCAAUGUUCCAAUGAAUAAAGUUUUGAAGUCUCAUUGUUAAAAAUAUUAACAUUUAUUUGCUUUGAGAUAUUUAAAAAUUAAUUUAAAGCUUUCUAUUUUUCCUUCCAAACAACACUAAACAUAUAUUCAAUAACUGAACGUAGUGACACAUGCCAUAUGUUAAACAUUUUACGGGUUUUUAGGCUCACUAUUUAAAAAUUUUGGAAAUGUAUUGAGUAUUUCUACUCUUUCUAUUUGAUAUGGAGCUAAAUAACCACAAUUUUCAUAACCAAAAUCUACAGAACAAUAUUUUUCCUUCUAGAAGAUGGGGAAAAAUUAAAUCAUUUUGUAUAGUAGUUUCCAGAAUUUGAGGGUCAUGUGUUGAUUCUACCAUUCCAAUGAAACAAUAUGUAAAUAGCAUGUCAUGACCACAAAUUCCCAAAAAUUAGGACGUGGAGAUGCUCUUAUCUCUUUCCUAUAACAUAGUAGAAACACUGUUGCUAAAACGUAAGUGACUUCAUGGCCCAAUGGAUAAGGCGCUGGUCUACGAAACCAGAGAUUCUGGGUUCGAUCCCCAGUGAAGUCGCACACUUUUUAUCUCUUUCCAAAUUUUUAAAACCUUCAGAGGCAUCCGGAAGCUUCUCUCCAUUAAAGUCAAUUUUCUUGUGAGAACAAUAAGGAGUAGCUUCUCGAUCUCAUCUCCUUGAGGAGACGAUGUCUAUUUACAGAAUCGCUAGAGCCUUGUCCUUCUCGGGGAUCUUCAGGCAGCUUGAGCAAGAAGCUGAAUGAGGCAGCGCAUGUUGACAAUUAGACCACGUCACUGGUGCCAUCGCGGUAGAGUUGGGUCACGUGUCGGGGCUACUAUUAUUAUGGACUUUAUUAAUUUUUAAGUUAUUAUGGGUUUAGUUAUUAACAUGGCUUUAUUGUUAGAUUAGGAUUUUCAUUAGUUUUAUUAUUUAAGCUUUGUAAACAGUUUUGAUAACAAAAGAGAGAUAGUUAUCUCUUUUACCUUA